rnacentral:tRNA from 1 species
AAGACAGAACAGAAAACAGUAAGUACUGCUAAUCCUUACAUUCCGAGGUUAAAAUCCACGGCUGUCUUA